rnacentral:miRNA from 1 species
AGAUAUAUUAGGUUGGUGCAAAAGUAAUUGUGGUUUUUGCCAUUACUUUUAACGGCAGAAAUCUCAAUCACUUUUGCACCGACCUAAUAA